CUCAAGCAUAAAACACGCAUUCAAUGCAAAGCAUAAUAGUUAAUGGCUUAGAUGCUUGCUGAAACCCCUUAAUCCUUGUGAUAAGGGGGAAGCAAGCUUUGCUAGU
rnacentral:rRNA from 1 species